AGGCGUGGAUUUGCGAAAUUAUAUAAUAUCAAUUUUACAUUUUUUAGAAUAAACUUGUUUAGUGAAAUAAUAAUAAUAAUCUUUUUUAUGAUCUAGUCUUGUGUAUUUGAUCGCAUACACAAAAACAAAAAAUUGCUCAUAAGCUAUUCGAAUAAAUUUUGAUGUUUUUAAUAAUUUUAUAUUCUCCUUUCAGCAGAUUUUUGGAGCAAUCACAAUCUCCUUCCUCUGAGAUAGGAUAAAUGUUAAUGUUCUGGCCGAGUUA
rnacentral:lncRNA from 1 species